rnacentral:rRNA from 1 species
GUUUGAUCCUGGCUCAGAAUCAACGCUGGCGGCGCGCUUAACACAUGCAAGUCGCACGAGAAAGCAGUAGCAAUACUGUGAGUAAAGUGGCGUACGGGUGAGUAACACGUGGAUCAUCUACCUUCUAGUGGGGAAUACCCCCGGGAAACUGGGGACAAUACCGCAUAAGCUCGUAAGAGGAAAGCAGCAAUGCGCUGGAAGAGGAGUCCGCGGCUGAUUAGCUAGUUGGCGGGGUAAUGGCCCACCAAGGCGAAGAUCGGUAGCCGGCCUGAGAGGGCACACGGCCACACUGGCACUGAAACACGGGCCAGACUCCUACGGGAGGCAGCAGUGGGGAAUCUUGCACAAUGGAGGAAACUCUGAUGCAGCGACGCCGCGUGAGCGAUGAAGCCCCUCGGGGUGUAAA